GGAGACUGGUAAUGCCGUGUGAAC
rnacentral:siRNA from 1 species